rnacentral:lncRNA from 1 species
UACCUCAUGUUUGUGCCUUCCCGCAGGAGUAAAAAUUUGCCUUGUCAAGAACUCCUGUGCCUUGUCUGAGUGCAUUCUUUUGGACACAGAAAAUUUGAGUCUGGGGGCUUAUUUCCAACAGGAAUAUAUGUAAAGUGAGGUCUGUAACUUUCCACGGAGUCAUCUGGAGUGAGAAAGAAGUGGUGCACCGGAUUAAUACAUCACUAAGUGAGAAUUCAAUGACUCUUUUGUGAAAGUGGUGACCUGUACAUCAGGAACAUAAUGCAAUUGCAACUACAUAACCAGAACAGAGAGUGGACCUCUGCUGAAGACGUGCCCAGUCGUUUCCAUUGUUAAAAGAGAGUCUGGCUUGAAAUUGUUUUCAAUUUUUCAAAUAACAGGGAAAGAUUAACACUAAGGCAACUGCAUUUAAAAUGUAAAGUUGGGGAAUGGCUUAAAAUUUUAAAGCUACACUGUCAUUAAUUUUGCAAGAUGUCAGAGUUUAAAGGAAAAUACCAGUGAGAAGCCAUGGAACAGCCUCUGUAUAAUGAGGGAUGAAAGAAAAGGGGAAUGACAUUUAUUCCUCUCUGCCCUGUCACUUUGGCUUUACAUCAGUUGCUUAAGGGGUGGCACUGAAGCAUGUGACUGGUUUCAAAAGAGCCUUAAUAAUGAAAGAGAAAAGCGAUUCUUGCAUAUUAAAUGUACUGCAGAUUCAAUACACUGAAAAGGACAACAGGAAGAAGAAUAAUCAUAUUUUAUUGUGGGAAACAAACAAUUUUCACUUACUAUCCUAAAGUCAGCAUGGCAGAUGGCACGAGGCAGCAAGAUGGGCCUUGUGAACCCAGAGCUCUCUGAAUUCAGGGCAUAUUUCUACUGUGAAGGAAAGACAACAGCGGCGCUGACCAGCUGUGACUUCUCCAGACGGUCACGAAUGCCGCAGCCACAAGGAGGCUCAGGUAUUCCAAGUCCAGGCUCAGUGUUCUUUCCUUGUGCUGCAGUUGCUCAGUUUGGCCAAGUUUCUGUUUGUGAAGCUUUUUAGGAAAAGGAAAAAAAGUACUUCCAAAUGUGGUAAAUUACAUAUACUAAUUUAAGUAUAUAUAAAUAACUCAUUGCAUUUCAGAAGAAUGUUUUCCUUUUUUCAUUGUUGAAGUAAGGUAACUGUGAAGCUGAAACUCAGUGUAUUUCCAAACCCAAGUUAAUAAAUGUAAUAGUGAUUAGAGGUUCAUCUACUAGGUGUUCAAUAAACAGAGUUCACACUGUGUGACAACCUGGAAAAUGUAAUAUUUAUUUUUCACUUUUAAACAAAUUUAUUGAAGUUUAAUUUAUAUUCAAACAUCAUCCUAUUUUAAAGUGUAUAAUUCAUUGAGCAGAUAAAGAAUACUUCCUUUAUUUGGAGAGUUCCCUCAAGCCCUGUUACAGUUAAUUUUU